AGAUUGAACGCUGGCGGCAUGCCUAACACAUGCAAGUCGAACGGGAGUAGCAAUACUCUAGUGGCGGACGGGUGAGGAAUACGUAGGAAUCUGCCCUUAAGUGGGGGAUAACCCGGGGAAACCCGGAUUAAUACCGCGAUGACCUACGAAAGAG
rnacentral:rRNA from 1 species